AUCAAUGCUUCGUACUCUGAGCAAACGAAAGUCUGCCGACAAUCACUCAGCAAUCUCUAUGCACAACCGUCGAUAUCUCUCCAUCGGUUGACUCUUGCAGUUCAGACUGACAAAUCGACGAUGCAUCCGAAUGGCCAGUUCAAUCCUAUCAGAAGAUGGAUGCUGACCGAUUAUGUUAGGCUAACUAACCACUCUCUUUCAAGCA
rnacentral:lncRNA from 1 species